rnacentral:lncRNA from 1 species
AAUAAACAAGCCACUUAGCUUUGAAACUGAAUUUUAACAAUGUUCCAAAAGGAGAAAUAAGGUAUAGCAUCUCACUACAAAUCCUCCAUCUCAAAACAUGGGGCCUGGAGUGGCCCCCCAAGACCCUACCCCUAAAACAAACUGGCUGUGGAUAUGGUGACAGAUUAGAAAGUUAAACCCUUCACCUCCAUGAAAGAAUCUGGAAUGGAGAUGCUGUAAGGAUAAUGUGGAUAGGAAGAAUCAAUAUCAUCAGAACGGCCAUUCUGUCCAAAGUAAUUUAUACAUUCAGUGCUAUCCCGAUCAAGCUACCAUUGACUUUCUUCACAGAAUUGGAAAAAACUACUUUAAAUUUCAUGUGGAACCAAAAGAGCCCACAUAGCCAAAACAAUCCUAAGCAAAAAGAACAAAGCUGGAGGCAUCAUGCUACCUGACUUCAAACUAUACUACAAGCCUACAGUAACAAAAACAGCAUGGUACUGGUACCAAAACAGAUAUAUAGACCAAUGGAACAGAACAGAGGCCUCAGAAAUAACACCACACAUCUACAACCAUCUGAUAUUUGACAAACCUGACAAAAAUCAAGCAAUGGGGAAAGGAUUCCCUAUUUAAUAAAUGGUGUUGGGAAAAGUGGCUAGCCAUAUGCAGAAAGCUGAAACUGGAUCCCUUCCUUACACCUUAUAUAAAAAUUAACUCAAGAUGGCUUAAUGACUUAAAUGUAAGACCAAAAACCAUAAAAACCCUAGAAGAAAACCUAGGCAAUACCACUCAGAACAUAGGCAUGGGCAAAGACUUCAUGACUAAAACACCAAAAGCCAAAAUUGACAAAUGGGAUCUGAUUAAACUAAAGAGCUUCUGCACAGCAAAAUAAACUAUCAUCAGAGUGAACUGGCAACCUACAGAAUGGGGAAAAUUUUGGCAAUCUGUCCAUCUGACAAAGGCCUAAUAUCCAGAAUCUACAAAGCACUUAAAUUUACAAGAAAACAAACAACACCAUCAAAAAGUGGGUGAAGGAUAUGAACAGACACUUAUUAAAAGAAGACAUUUAUGCAGCCAACAAACUUAUGAAAAAAAGCUCAUCAUCACUGGUCAUUAGAGAAAUGCAAAUCAAAACCACAAUGAGAUACCAUCUCAUGCCAGUUAGAAUGGUGAUUAUUAAAAAGUCAGGAAACAACAGAUGCUGGAGAGGAUGUGGAGAAAUAGGAAGGCUUUUACACUGUUGGUGGGAGUGUAAAUUAGUUCAACCACUGUGGAAGACAGUGUGGCAAUUCCUCAAGGAUCUAGAACUAGAAAUACCAUUUGACCCAGCAAUCCCAUUACUGGGUAUAUACCCAAAGGAUUAUAAAUCUUUCUACUAUAAAGACACAUGCACACCUAUGUUUAUUGUGGCACUGUUCACAAUAGCAAAGACUUGGAACUGACCCAAAUGCCCAUCAAUGAUAGACUGGAUUAAGAACAUGUGGCACAUAUAUACCAUGGAAUACUAUGCAGCCAUAAAAAAGGAUCAGUUCAUGUCCUUUGCAGGGACAUGGAAGAAGCUGGAAACCAUCAUUCGCAGCAAACUAACACAAGCACAGAAAACCAAAUAUCACAUGUUCUCAUUCAUAAGUGGGAGUUGAGCAAUGAGAACACACGGACACAGGGAGGGGAACAUCACACACUGGGGCCUGUAAGGGGGUGGGGGGCUAGGGGAAGGAUAGCAUUAGGAGAAAUACCUAAUGUAGAUGACAGGUUGAUGGGUGCAGCAAACCACCAUGGCAUGUGUAUAUCUAUGUAACAAACCCGCACAUUCUGCACAUGUACCCUAGAACUUAAAGUAUUAAAAAAAAAAAAAGCCGCUCACAUGGAGGUGCCAGUAGUGCCAAGUGGAAGGGCAGAAGUGGAGUGGCUGCUUGUCUAGGCCAUCUGUAACCUGGGGAAACUCAUCUUGGAGCAUGGGUGUAUUGGAUAACGUGUGAUUUCAGGGCAUUUCCAACUGAGAGUUGAAGUUGCAUUAUAAAGACUUUCUUCAAAAGGAGCUGGAGAACUGCUGUGCUUCCCAAUACCAAAUUCCUUUUUGCCCCAUUCCAAGGCAAUGCUACCACAGCUGCCUAGCGGAAAUGCCCCUUACUACUGCAUAAACUGUCUGGCUCACACAGAGUCCCAGCAUGACAAUUACAUAAUUGUGUUAAAAGCCCCUUUUUGAUUACCUGGGUUUGAGAGGUGAGAUUGAAAUUCCAAGAGGAGAUUCUGAAAUGUUGGGGCAAGGUAACAGGGUGAAGCAGUCAAGAGAGAAAUAAGUCCUGACAACUGUGAUUACUGGAGAAUGAAAUAAUUCUUGCUCCACAUAGAGCAGGUCCUGAAUGAAUGAAUGGCUGAAUGGUACAGGUCUUUUUCAAACUAAUCUCAUGAUGUGAGGUCUUAGUGUCCAUUGAUUUCUUCCUGUGUGUGUGUGUUGAUCGUUCUCAUGCCCUUUGCCUGGUGGAUCCUGCCUGCCCUUGACUACAGGUAUUCUGAGGAUCGAUACAUUUGUGACCAUGCCAGACCCUGUGCUUGCAGAUGUCCACCAUAACCUGAAAAAUGUACUUAUGGUUGUCAGACCACAGGGAUAUUUAAGAAAUCAAGCUAUUCUGCCCAUACUGUUUGGACUCCAAAUUAUCCCAAAUUAUGUCAGACCCGGGGGUGACCUUCUAUAUCAGGGGCCAAGUUGCACCAGGUAAUGGUGCUCUGGGAGCACCCUGUCUGGUGCUGAGAACUGGCAUUGACUUUGACUCUGCCUCCAUCUCCACUUGAUGCCUUCUCAGCCUUCUUGCCUCAGCAUCAGAGGGUUAAAACAAUUCCUCUAGCAGCAGCCUCUCCUCAUUAGCAACCUGGAAUCAUUGCAGUGCUGAAGGCUGCAUUGUUCUUCAGCACUUGAAUACAAUUUGCAUAACGAGGCAGGUGAGAGCGCCUCUUGCCUGUUCAGGCAGCCCUGAUUGGCAGAGAGAAAGGGAUUUAUAGGUAGUUGGCCACAAUUAAUUUGGUGUGCUUUUAAAAGGAUAAAAAGAAAAGCAGAAAAUUGCUCAGUGCUCCAAGUCAAAACCACAUCUGUACCCUAUGUGGUGUAUGUGCUGGUGUGUUUGCAGGGAUG